rnacentral:rRNA from 1 species
UGGGGAAUUUUGGACAAUGGGCGAAAGCCUGAUCCAGCAAUGCCGCGUGUGUGAAGAAGGCCUUCGGGUUGUAAAGCACUUUUGUCCGGAAAGAAAUCCUUGGUUCUAAUAUAGCCGGGGGGAUGACGGUACCGGAAGAAUAAGCACCGGCUAACUACGUGCCAGCAGCCGCGGUAAUACGUAGGGUGCGAGCGUUAAUCGGAAUUACUGGGCGUAAAGCGUGCGCAGGCGGUUUGCUAAGACCGAUGUGAAAUCCCCGGGCUCAACCUGGGAACUGCAUUGGUGACUGGCAGGCUAGAGUAUGGCAGAGGGGGGUAGAAUUCCACGUGUAGCAGUGAAAUGCGUAGAGAUGUGGAGGAAUACCGAUGGCGAAGGCAGCCCCCUGGGCCAAUACUGACGCUCAUGCACGAAAGCGUGGGGAGCAAACAGGAUUAGAUACCCUGGUAGUCCACGCCCUAAAACGAUGUCAACUAGUUGUUGGGGGAUUCAUUUCCUUAGUAACGUAGCUAACGCGUGAAGUUGACCGCCUGGGGAGUACGGUCGCAAGAUUAAAACUC